AUAGUUUUGAAAUAUACCAAAACAUUGACAGAGUGUGUUUGUCAUUCAACUGUAUAUAAACUAAAAAAAAAUAAAAAUCCUGUUAAAAGUCGUGUCCAUGAAAGGGAACAUGAAUUCUUUUCAAGUCGUAAUUUCAUUAAAAAUAUAUAAAUAAUAAUAAUAAAGUGUAUGUUAUCUUUACUAUUUCAGAAACCUCAUCAGUGGGACAAUAACUCAAUUAUGGUAUGUGUAAUAUUUUUUCAUAUUUCUUGUAUUAAAACUAAAAUUUACUCGUUUCAUUUCUUUGUAAAAUUGUUGAUGUCGAUUUUCUGUUUUUUGACUUUCAGAUAUGUGAGUUUUGUGGAAACGUAAAGUGUGUGGAAGAAGCAUCACAGAAGUAUCCAAUAUGUUUAAGUAACUGAAACAUUCUAAGAUUAAAUUUGGACAUUUUGAGGAGAGAUUCAGUCAACCUGUUCACAGUAAAUUAAAUAAAAGCGGAAUUAAUGCGGAUAACGACUGUGCCACUUCUGUCAAUGUUCAUAGCAGCUGGACAGAUACACUGUUAAUCAAAUUAAAGUUUUCAGCAGCAAAGGAGCUUCUGGACAAAAGAUAUCACACACAUUGCAGUUGCAGACAAGUGCGAAGAUAUACACUUCAAAUGAGACUGUGCCAUAAAGAGUCUGUGUGUGUAUCUCAAUGGGGACAUUACAACACUUCCAGUUCUCCAGAAUUCUUCCAGAAUUCCAGGACUGCAAUCCUGAAGGAACUGAGGGAGGAAUUUCUGAGACCACUCUGGGCCCUUUUGUGACCCUUAAAGAAAGCACUGAGGAUGAGCCAGUGGAUGUUGGCGUAGCAACAGAGAGUUUAAA